AGUAAUGACAUGGAUCUGGAGAGAUUCUCUUAGGAGAGAAUCUGGCUAAGUGUCUAGCAGGAUGAUUGAUUAACAAGAUGUUUUGUUUUCAUCAUCUCAGAGAUAACUGUAUUGAGGUAUAAUUGAUAUGCCAAAUAACUGGACACAUUCAACUUGUGCAAUUUGAUGAGUUUGGAGAUACACAUACAUCUGUGAAACCAUCACCAAAAUCAAGAGAAAGUGGACUAUGAACAAUCGAAAGAAAGUGGUGGAUGGUUUCUGGAAGGACAAGUCUGCACCAGAGAAUAAAAGGGCAUUCCUUAGGGUUGCUGAGGAUUUUCUUUGAUUGUAUUCUGCUAAUGUGUGUGCAAGGCAGAUAUAACACAUUUGUGGAAGGCUCUAGAGACAUUUUCUACAAAUUUUACCCUGGUUUCAG
rnacentral:lncRNA from 10 species